UUGUCCCGUCAAGGUCUUUGUAGAGAGCUGGGGCGACUUGGGAUUUGAAGCUUCUCUUCAUUGCCCGCCUCAUCAACCCCGAUAUCUCUGCACAUCAUGUCUUCUAAGCAAGGUGGAAAGGCCAAGCCAUUGAAGCAACCAAAGGCUGAAAAGAAAGACUAUGAUGAGGAUGAUCUAGCAAAUAUUCAGAAGAAAAAAGAGGAGGAAAAGGCACUCAAAGAGUUGAGGGCCAAGGCAUCGCAGAAGGGAGCCUUUGGAGGUGCGGGGCUCAAGAAAAGCGGGAAGAAAUGAGUAUGGAGCGCGCUUGUGCCCAGCCGAAGCAAUGAGUAUCUUGUAAUUCUGUCAUGGAAGUGCUUUCCUUCCAUGUUCAGAGUAAAUUCAAUGCUAAACACUACCACAUUUGCAUAUAUAGCUUUGGUUUGGUCGGGAUGGUUAGGCCUGCUUUUAAAGACAUGGUCUGAUGUGUGAUAGGGAUGGUUAGGCCCGCUUUUAAAGACAUGGUCUGAUUUGUGAUAGGUAUCUAUCUACACAUUUGGAUGAUAAUUUUAUUGUGGUUGCUAAGGUUCGCCCUUUUUCGUUUUUCU